rnacentral:rRNA from 1 species
AGAGUUUGAUCCUGGCUCAGGAUGAACGCUAGCGGCAGGCUUAACACAUGCAAGUCGAGGGGUAACAGGGUAGCAAUACCGCUGACGACCGGCGCACGGGUGAGUAUCGCGUAUGCAACCUGCCCUUAACCGGGGAAUAGCUUCGAGAAAUCGGAAUUAAUACCCCAUAACAUUUCAGAAAGGCAUCUUUCAGAAAUUAAAGCUCCGGCGGUUAAGGAUGGGCAUGCGUAACAUUAGCUUGUUGGUGAGGUAACGGCUCACCAAGGCAACGAUGUUUAGGGGGUCUUAAAGGAUGAUCCCCCACACUGGUACUGAGACACGGACCAGACUCCUACGGGAGGCAGCAGUGAGGAAUAUUGGUCAAUGGACGCAAGUCUGAACCAGCCAUGCCGCGUGCAGGAUGACGGCCUUACAGGUUGUAAACUGCUUUUAUACGGGAAGAAACCCCUGAACGUGUUCGGGGCUGACGGUACUGUAUGAAUAAGCAUCGGCUAACUCCGUGCCAGCAGCCGCGGUAAUACGGAGGAUGCAAGCGUUAUCCGGAUUUAUCAGGUUUAAAGGGUGCGUAGGCGGAAUAUUAAGUCAGUGGUGAAAUCCUGCAGCUUAACUGUAGAACUGCCAUUGAAACUGAUAUUCUUGAGUCUAGUUGAGGUGGGCGGAAUGUGUCAUGUAGCGGUGAAAUGCAUAGAUAUGACACAGAACACCGAUUGCGUAGGCAGCUCACUAAGCUAUAACUGACGCUGAGGCACGAAAGCGUGGGGAUCAAACAGGAUUAGAUACCCUGGUAGUCCACGCUGUAAACGAUGAUUACUCGAUGUAUGCGAUAUACAGUAUGCGUCUGAGCGAAAGCAUUAAGUAAUCCACCUGGGGAGUACGAUCGCAAGAUUGAAACUCAAAGGAAUUGACGGGGGCCCGCACAAGCGGAGGAACAUGUGGUUUAAUUCGAUGAUACGCGAGGAACCUUACCUGGGCUUAAAUGCAGUAUGAUUUUUCUGGAAACAGAAUUUCUCUUCGGAGCAGACUGCAAGGUGCUGCAUGGUUGUCGUCAGCUCGUGCCGUGAGGUGUCGGGUUAAGUCCCAUAACGAGCGCAACCCCUAUUAUUAGUUGCCAGCGGGUAAUGCCGGGGACUCUAAUAAGACUGCCAGUGUAAACUGUGAGGAAGGUGGGGAUGACGUCAAAUCAGCACGGCCCUUACGUCCAGGGCUACACACGUGUUACAAUGGCCGGUACAAAGAGCAGCUACUUAGUGAUAAGAUGCUAAUCUCAAAAGCCGGUCUCAGUUCGGAUCGAAGUCUGCAAUUCGACUUCGUGAAGCUGGAUUCGCUAGUAAUCGUAGAUCAGCCAUGCUACGGUGAAUACGUUCCCGGGCCUUGUACACACCGCCCGUCAAGCCAUGGAAGCUGGGGGUACCUAAAGUUCGUAACCGCAAGGAGCGACCUAGGGUAAAACUAGUGACUGGGGCUAAGUCGGAACAAGGUA